rnacentral:siRNA from 1 species
ACCGACCUUGAUCUUCUGAGA